GUUGAAAUCUGAUAUCAUUCUCUAUAACUUUUUGAAUGUUGAAAGAAUGCAUAGGUGGAGCUUGAGUUAAGCUCAAGUGGAGGAGACAGAUUUCCUGAAAUCUAGGGAAGUUACUUUUGACCUGUUUGUAAGAAAGUUACUUCUGUAAUCUGGCACAAAGGACCGACGGUGUUCUUCCCUCUUCAUUUUUGUUUCUCAUGCUAUCUAUGCCAACAAGUCGUUUUGAUCUUUGAUAAAUGUGAAAGCAGAAAAGAGAGAAAACCAGCAAGCUUCACCCUCCACCAAACCAAAUUUAGAACAUUUUUUCUUGUCAUGGCAUCCACCAGUUUUAUAGGCACUACUCCUGUUUUUAUAGAAGAAAACUUGCUGUUUUUCUGCUACUGCUUUAUAGGCACUGCUACUUUUUAUAAUCUGAACUACCACGAGCACUUUAUAAUUUGCACAAGAAAGUGACUGGAUAAGAUUUCUAGCGUAGCAGAACCAUUAGAUAAUAUAACAAUGAUAGUAAGAUAUAAAGAAUAAAAGUUAUCCUUGGCAAACCAUAGACCUGAAAAACUGACUUCCCAUGGCUCCUUGUUAACCCAUGGCUUCCUCUGAUAUUCCACCUCGCAGAUAAAUUUAGCAGUUCCAUAAUGCCAGUUGAUGGAGCAGCCUUAAAUAAGCCUAAGAUCAUACUCACCAGCCGUAGUUAUAUAUCUCACCCAUGGAAGAGCCUGGUAGCCACUUUUCUCAAUAAUCUUCAGGUAUCGAACCUGUAUUCCUGAAACAGUAAAAUAUGGAAUCUCAAACUUCACACGAAUUGGAGCCUUUCUCUCAGGAGCUCCUUCUUCAGCAGUUAUGCUUGGAAGACUGAACUCUGCCCUCAACAUGUACUCCUUUCCACCAGGAAAAGAUUUAAUUUUCCACAUUAAUGCAUCAUUUUCAGGUGCAAAUGAUGCAGAUCCCAUUGAUGUCCGAACAUUAGGAUUGGAAGCAUCAGUUGGUACCGGCAACUCAAUCUCAACAUUUGUUGCAGUGCUGCGCUCCUUGAACUGACUCCUAGCUUUUACCAUGAUCUCAACACGACUUCUUGAAUGCCUUUCAACUUGAGCUUCCACCCAAAUCAGAGGCUUAACCUGAGUGCUGAGUCUAUAUGUCAUCAGAUCAAAAGCCCCAUCAGGUGGUAUGAAGGAUAUUGUCCGGUCAUUCUCAAAUCGGGCUAAACGCACACAUUGAUGAAAUUUGAUAUCCUCCAAAUCAAUGGCCUUUCCUUUUGUUGCACGACCUUGGGCCUCCAAUAAUACUCUAUCAUUCAGGCCAAGCUUGCAUUCAGGCAUGCCACUCAAAUAAGUUCUCAUCUUCAGUGCGCCAACAACCUCUGACCUAAUUACUUGUCCAUUGCUAUUGACAAGAAUAUUAACACUCUCCACGACAUCCAAUAAAACCUGUACAAAAAUGAUUAAAGAUAUAUCAUGCAACAACUUUCAACACCAACAAACAGCUCACAAGUUGGAAAACGGAAGAAAAAAAAUACUCCAUUCUUCUUGUAAAAUAUCCCUUCACUUCGCCAAGACACUGCAUUUGUGACAGCCAUGGGAGGCCUCUGAUUAGUUUCCAUCCUGUACGCAUCAGUCUUGAUAAAUUCACUAAGAAUUUUUGCUUCCGUGUACUGAGGGUAGCCAAAGUCCAUCAUUUCAUCAAGUAACUCAUACACUACCACAAAGUUAUCCCUAAGCGAUUCUUCUUCCAAUUCUUCGAAAUAAUGCUUAAAAACAUCAACUACACGGAGGAGAAAGGAGAGGAGACCAGCAGCAUUGCAGUUCUGCCUCGACGCGGUCAUGAGGUAAACGUUACUGUGUUGUAUAAACAUGUAACUGACUCCAUUAUCGUAGACAACCGGAUCUUGAGACAGCGGAUCUCCCUCUUUCUCGAUGAGCUUCGUAAAGAAGCGUUCAGCUUGAACGGCGGAGACAUCCCCACGGUAGUCGCGCCACACCAGAACCCGCCCCUUUAUGUCUAAGAGAAACAGAGCAGAAACUGCCCCAGCCAUUAACUGAAAUCUCUCUUUCUCUGUCUCUGAAGAAUUUCAAGCAUCAGAGCUGGAAUCUUCGGAGGUCGAGGAUUCUGGAGAUAUGAAACAGUUGAGAAGAAUAUGUGAUCUAGCUCUCUGCGAUUGAGUAAACGUGAAAUGAUUCUAAUGGAGGAUGCAAGAUGUAACAAUGUAACAACUAACAAGAUGAUUGCCGAUUUGCAGUGUAGUGCUGUUAGAUCCGUGUAUUUGAACCGGGAAAAUAUAAAGGUUAAGGAUGAACCGGUUCGACCGUUCAUCAAUUAGAAUAGUGAAAGCGAUUCUUUUUUAAUAAACAUCUAAAUAGUGUUGUGUAUGAAUGGUUAUUAAACUCAAAAUGACAUUGAUGAAUGGGUGGGCAAGCUUAAGAUGGUGUUGAAGUCUUC
rnacentral:misc_RNA from 1 species